AUGCACGCUGGCGGCGUGCCUAAUACAUGCCAGUCGAGCGAACAGACGAGGAGCUUGCUCCUCUGACGUUAGCGGCGGACGGGUGAGUAACACGUGGAUAACCUACCUAUAAGACUGGGAUAACUUCGGGAAACCGGAGCUAAUACCGGAUAAUAUAUUGAACCGCAUGGUUCAAUAGUGAAAGACGGUUUUGCUGUCACUUAUAGAUGGAUCCGCGCCGCAUUAGCUAGUUGGUAAGGUAACGGCUUACCAAGGCAACGAUGCGUAGCCGACCUGAGAGGGUGAUCGGCCACACUGGAACUGAGACACGGUCCAGCCUCCUACGGGAGGCAGCAGUAGGGAAUCUUCCGCAAUGGGCGAAAGCCUGACGGAGCAACGCCGCGUGAGUGAUGAAGGUCUUCGGAUCGUAAAACUCUGUUAUUAGGGAAGAACAAAUGUGUAAGUAACUAUGCACGUCUUGACGGUACCUAAUCAGAAAGCCACGGCUAACUACGUG
rnacentral:rRNA from 1 species